GGGAGUAGCUCAAUGGUAGAGCACUGGCCUUCCAAGCCAGUAAUGCGGGUUCGAUCCCCGUCUUCCG
rnacentral:tRNA from 1 species